AUGUCGGAAAAGAAUCUAGACGCGGAAAGGAUGAAUCGCGAAGGUGGCGCUGAUGCUUGGGGUUCUCAAAGGCCAGAAACACCGCCUUGGGAUGCAGCAGAGUAUAGUCAAUUCAUCUCUGCAGGGCCGUUGCUGCCACUACUAGAACAGUAUGCAGGCGUAGGUUCUUAUGACCAAAACACUCUCAGGGGGGCCCCAUGGCAAGUUCAGUCACAAGGCGCUAACACUGACAUAUUUACGGGCAACCAACCUCAACUAGCUAGCAUGGCUAAUCAAGCGUAUUACGCUGGUGGUGACACGACAAUCGUCCCGUGGCAAGCUUCACAAAUUGCAGGUGGAGCACGACAUUUUGGUGUCACAGACCACACAAGAUGGCCAAAUGCAGCACAACAAGAACCUACAACUACAGUGAACAGCGGUGCGGGGACAUCUACUGCGGGGAGCUCUGAGCGCACGGAAGACGCGUUCCACCAGCCAGCAGACUGUCAUGCCGCAAACAAUUUCGAGUCAGAGUCGGGAAUGGCAAUCAUUCCAGCAAUGCCGACGAGCACCCCUUUGAACACAAGCACUAGCAACACUCGAGUAGAUGGAACUGCCACCGAUACUGAAGCGAAUGAUGAAACUGACGACGACGCACAAGAGGAUGAAGAUGGUGGGCAAUCCGAGAUCGUGGUACCUCAGCCACCAUACAUUGGGCAGAGAUUUGAACCGUUCGCAGAAGCAAAGGAAUACUACCAGGCAUACGCAAAGUUCCAUGGAUUUGCGGUCAACACCGAAUACCAUAGGAAAAUUAAGAAAACUAAUGAGUACAACAGAGGUGAGAUGAGGUGCCACAAGGCACGGAGGAACAAGAAGGGGAAAGGUGUUGCGCCUGUCGUUCCGGAACGAAAGAGAGGCAUCAUUCUCAAGACGGGGUGCCCUGUCCGGUGUAAGCUAAACGUAGAUGGAGCAACAUGGGUGGUCAAUGAGUAUUUUGACGAGCACAACCACAAACUCAUAAAGAAGUUCGACCUGGUGAAAUUUCUGACCGCCCACAGAGGGUUCACCCCCGUCGAAAGGAAAUUCGUAAAGCUGCUACAUGAUUGUAACGUCGGUCCAUCAAGAAUGGUACAGAUACUAUCUCUCAUCCACAGUAAAAAGGGGACUCUGAGUAGCACGCCGUACAUACCAGCUGAUGUCACAAACCUACAGGCCAAAUUCCAGGAAGAAAUAAAGCGUGCCAGCAUGUUCACGGCUUUCCGGGUGGACGAACAUACGUUCAAGGUGUGUUCUAUUUUGGGCAUGUCAGAUUCAGAACCUGAAGACGCGGACAAAGGAAGGAACUACUUCGUCAGAGCCUCGAUAGGCGAAGGCGAGUACUACUGCCAAUGCUGCAAAUUCGAACGGGACGGUAUUGUGUGCUGUCACAUACUAAAAGUCAUGGACAUGAACGCUGUGACACGCAUGCCCCGCCAUUUCAUAAGGAGGCGAUGGACUUGGGACGCUGACGACGCGUUGGCGCCGCAGACAACACACGCAGUUCUGGCUGUGCAUGACGAGAGAUCUGAGUCAACCAUGGAAGCCGUGAGGCACGUUGUGCUGACAAAGAACUAUACUGAGCUAAUUGAUAAAGCGUGCAAGAGUGAUGACACAGCGAGAGUCGCAGAAAAACACAGGAAGGCACUCAAAAGAGAGCUUGAUGAGAUCAAAAAAAGGAAAGCCGAGGAAGCCUUACACCGGUUCCCCCGCACAUCAAGUGUGCCUUCAUCCACGGGGCCAUCGUCUGAAAACUCGGAGAUAGGAUCUGUAACAGCAAGCACACAAACCCAGGUCAGGAACCCACCCCAUUCCAUCACAAAGGGUCGUCCAAGAGAGAUAAGUUGUACUGGAUUUGCCAUCUGUACUGAAAAAUUCCGGAUGCUUUUUGUAAUGACUCUGCAUGGCAUAUAUCCCCAUGACAAAUACGAUGCGGUUUAG
rnacentral:rRNA from 1 species